ACUCCUACGGGAGGCAGCAGUGGGGAAUAUUGCACAAUGGGCGAAAGCCUGAUGCAGCGACGCCGCGUGGGGAUGAAGGCCUUCGGGUUGUAAACCCCUUUCAGCAGGGAAGAAGCGAAAGUGACGGUACCUGCAGAAGAAGCGCCGGCUAACUACGUGCCAGCAGCCGCGGUAAUACGUAGGGCGCAAGCGUUGUCCGGAAUUAUUGGGCGUAAAGAGCUCGUAGGCGGUUUGUCGCGUCUGCUGUGAAAUCCCGAGGCUCAACCUCGGGCUUGCAGUGGGUACGGGCAGACUAGAGUGUGGUAGGGGAGACUGGAAUUCCUGGUGUAGCGGUGGAAUGCGCAGAUAUCAGGAGGAACACCAAUGGCGAAGGCAGGUCUCUGGGCCACAACUGACGCUGAGGAGCGAAAGCGUGGGGAGCAAACAGGAUUAGAUACCCUGGUAGCGAG
rnacentral:rRNA from 1 species